UACAGAGGGUGCGAGCGUUGUCCGGAAUCACUGGGCGUAAAGGGUGCGUAGGUGGCAGGGUAAGUCGGAUGUGAAAUCCCGGGGCUCAACCUCGGAACUGCAUUCGAUACUGCUUUGCUGGAGUACUGGAGAGGAGAUUGGAAUUUACGGUGUAGCAGUGAAAUGCGUAGAUAUCGUAAGGAAGACCAGUGGCGAAGGCGGAUCUCUGGACAGUUACUGACACUGAGGCACGAAGGCCAGGGGAGCAAACGGG
rnacentral:rRNA from 1 species